UACGUAGGGGGCAAGCGUUGUUCGGAAUUACUGGGCGUAAAGCGCGCGUAGGCGGCCUUCUAAGUCGGACGUGAAAUCCCUGGGCUCAACCCAGGAACUGCGUCCGAUACUGGGAGGCUUGAGUCCGGGAGAGGGAUGUGGAAUUCCAGGUGUAGCGGUGAAAUGCGUAGAUAUCUGGAGGAACACCGGUGGCGAAGGCGGCAUCCUGGACCGGUAUUGACGCUGAUGCGCGAAAGCCAGGGGAGCAAACGGG
rnacentral:rRNA from 1 species